rnacentral:rRNA from 1 species
CUGGCUCAGGAUGAACGCUGGCGGCAUGCCUAACACAUGCAAGUCGAACGGAGCUAUCUUAGAAGCUUGCUUCUUUCUUAGCUUAGUGGCGGACGGGUGAGUAACGCGUGAAGAACCUGCCCUUAAGUGGGGAAUAACACCGAGAAAUCGGUGCUAAUACCGCAUAAAAUCUCUGGAUCGCAUGUUCCUGGAGAUCAAAGGAUUUAUUCGCUUAAGGAUGGCUUCGCGUCCGAUUAGUUAGUUGGUGAGGUAACGGCUCACCAAGACCGCGAUCGGUAGCCGAACUGAGAGGUUGAUCGGCCACAUUGGGACUGAGACACGGCCCAGACUCCUACGGGAGGCAGCAGUGGGGAAUAUUGGGCAAUGGGGGAAACCCUGACCCAGCAAUGCCGCGUGAAGGAUGAAGGUCUUCGGAUUGUAAACUUCUUUGAUUGGGGAAGAAUAAAGUGACCUACCCAAAGAACAAGUCACGGCUAACUACGUGCCAGCAGCCGCGGUAAUACGUAGGUGACAAGCGUUAUCCGGAUUUACUGGGUGUAAAGGGCGUGUAGGCGGCUUUGCAAGUCAGAU